CUGAGGUAGAGACGAAACCAGAAGGCAGACGACAGAGCAAACAGCUGACACGCCAAAAAGUUCACCUGAGUGACACAUUUUUUUUUAAAUGGCUACUUUGGUUAAGAUGCCCCCUGGACACCUCCCUGGUGACGUAUCCUCGGCAUGUCCCACCAACAGGAGAUCUCGGGGAUGGCCCAGGACAUGCUGGAGGGAUGGUAUUGCUUGCCUGGCCCGGAAAAGCCUUGGUAUCCCCUGGGAAGAACUGGAAGAAGUGGCUGGAAAGAGGGAAGUCUGGAUUUCCCUGCUAAAGCUGUUACACCCCACCCCCCUCCUUAUAAUAGAUGAUGGAUGGAUGGAUGGAUAGAUGGAUGGAUGCAAAACUGACUGUAGAUGGUAUGAUAAGCAAUGACUUCUCAGCCAUAAUGAUUGUGUGCUAAGGUGUUGCCACCAUGUAGCUUCUCAUAUAUUCUAUUGUAUUGUGAAUGUAAAUAAUACUUUUUGGGGGCUUGUGCAUUUGUACAAAAUGUGGGCCUUUUAACUUUGGGUGUAAGAGUGUGCAAACGUGCACGGAUGUAAUAUUUUGUAGAAUACCUAAUGCAAGCAUACUACUCCGUACGAUCAUAAAGCAUGAAAAGUAUCCUAA